rnacentral:rRNA from 1 species
AAUUGACGGGGACCCGCACAAGCGGUGGAUGAUGUGGUUUAAUUCGAUGCAACGCGAAAAACCUUACCUACCCUUGACAUGUCUGGAAUCUCGCAGAGAUGUGAGAGUGCUCGAAAGAGAACCAGAACACAGGUGCUGCAUGGCCGUCGUCAGCUCGUGUCGUGAGAUGUUGGGUUAAGUCCCGCAACGAGCGCAACCCUUGUCAUUAGUUGCUACGAAAGGGCACUCUAAUGAGACUGCCGGUGACAAACCGGAGGAAGGUGGGGAUGACGUCAGGUCCUCAUGGCCCUUAUGGGUAGGGCUACACACGUCAUACAAUGGCCGGUACAGAGGGCUGCCAACCCGCGAGGGGGAGCCAAUCCCAGAAAACCGGUCGUAGUCCGGAUCGCAGUCUGCAACUCGACUGCGUGAAGUCGGAAUCGCUAGUAAUCGCGGAUCAGCUUGCCGCGGUGAAUACGUUCCCGGGCCUUGUACACACCGCCAUCCAUAUGAGGAAUUUUGGACAAUGGGCGCAAGCCUGAUCCAGCCAUGCCGCGUGCGGGAAGAAGGCCUUCGGGUUGUAAACCGCUUUUGUCAGGGAAGAAACGCUCUGGGCUAAUACCCCGGGGUAAUGACGGUACCUGAAGAAUAAGCACCGGCUAACUACGUGCCAGCAGCCGCGGUAAUACGUAGGGUGCAAGCGUUAAUCGGAAUUACUGGGCGUAAAGCGUGCGCAGGCGGUUAUGCAAGACAGAUGUGAAAUCCCCGGGCUUAACCUGGGAACUGCAUUCGUGACUGCAUAGCUAGAGUGCGGCAGAGGGGGAUGGAAUUCCGCGUGUAGCAGUGAAAUGCGUAGAUAUGCGGAGGAACACCGAUGGCGAAGGCAAUCCCCUGGGCCUGCACUGACGCUCAUGCACGAAAGCGUGGGGAGCAAACAGGAUCAGAUACCCUGGUAGUCCACGCCCUAAACGAUGUCAACUGGUUGUUGGAAGGGUUCCCUUUCAGUAACGAAGCUAACGCGUGAAGUUGACC